GCAGGACCUUGUACCUGAGCGACAGCGUCGCCGCCAGUGGGCAGCCUGCGGUGCCCCCACCGAUGACAAUGUAGUCGUACGUCGCCGGGCACCGCGUGGGGUAGCUGCUGGCCUUCCGGAGAGGAGGGAGGUUCUUCAAGAGUAUGUUUUGAUCUGAUUGAGAGCUUACAUGAGCUCAUGACAUAAUAAGGCUGACAUUGUGCCACCCUGGAUGGCAUAUCAGCAUUCUGAAACGAUAGCGGCAGGCCAACAGGUGAUAGCCGAAAACAAAAGCCACCGACUACAAUGACAGAAGAUGGCGGAAAGAGAGUGAUUCUGAAGAACUCUAAAGCAUUGCAGUAUCAAAAUGUGAAACGGAGGCGCUCACCAUGGGACAGGUCGAAGAGGCAGAGGAGGCACGCCAGGAGCUUGAAGAAGAGCACCGGUCCCCUGCUCAACGCCAUUGGACUGAACCUUGAGAAGCCCCUAC